rnacentral:rRNA from 1 species
CCUACGGGGGGCAGCAGUGAGGAAUAUUGGUCAAUGGACGAGAGUCUGAACCAGCCAAGUAGCGUGAAGGAUGACUGCCCUAUGGGUUGUAAACUUCUUUUAUAUGGGAAUAAAAUGUUCCACGUGUGGGAUUUUGUAUGUACCAUAUGAAUAAGGAUCGGCUAACUCCGUGCCAGCAGCCGCGGUAAUACGGAGGAUCCGAGCGUUAUCCGGAUUUAUUGGGUUUAAAGGGAGCGUAGGUGGAUGGUUAAGUCAGUUGUGAAAGUUUGCGGCUCAACCGUAAAAUUGCAGUUGAAACUGGCAGUCUUGAGUACAGUAGAGGUGGGCGGAAUUCGUGGUGUAGCGGUGAAAUGCUUAGAUAUCACGAAGAACUCCGAUUGCGAAGGCAGUUCACUGGACUGCAACUGACACUGAGGCUCGAAAGUGUGGGUAUCAAACAGGAUUAGAUACCCUAGUAGUC